GCCUAAUACAUGCAAGUCGAACGGAGUAGCAAUACUUAGUGGCAGACGGGUGAGUAACAUGUGGGUAUCUUCCCUUUGGUGAGGAAUAACACGAGGAAACUUGUGCUAAUACCUCAUAAGUCUUUACGGAGAAAGCUUUAUGCGCCAAUGGAUGAGCCCGCACUUGAUUAGUUUGUUGGUAGGGUAAUGGCCUACCAAGACUGUGAUCAAUAGCUGAUUUGAGAGGAUGAUCAGCCACAUUGGGACUGAGACACGGCCCAAACUCCUACGGGAGGCAGCAGUAGGGAAUCUUGCACAAUGGAGGAAACUCUGAUGCAGCGAUGCCGCGUGAGUGAAGAAGGCCCUUGGGUUGUAAAGCUCUUUCGUCGGGGAAGAAAAUGACUGUACCCGAAUAAGAAGGUCCGGCUAACU
rnacentral:rRNA from 1 species